rnacentral:rRNA from 1 species
GACGAACGCUGGCGGCGUGCCUAAUACAUGCAAGUAGGACGCAGUUGCGAACGGGUGAGUAACGCGUAGGUAAAUGCCUAUUAGAGGGGGAUAACUAUUGGAAACGAUAGCUAAUACCGCAUACUAGUAGAUGGAUCUGCGUUGUAUUAGCUAGUGGGUUGGGUAAUGGCCUACCUAGGCGAAGAUACAUAGCCGACCUGAGAUGGGGAUCGGCCACACUGGGGCUGGGACACGGCCCAGACUCCCACGGGAGGCAGCAGGAGGGGAUCUUCGGGAAAGGGGGGAACGCUGACCGGGCAAAGCCGCGGGAGUGAAGAAGGUUUUCGGAUCGUAAAGCUCUGUUGUUAAGGAAGCGGUACUUAACCAGAAAGGGACGGCUAACUACGUGCCAGCAGCCGCGGUAAUAC